rnacentral:lncRNA from 1 species
UUAUUUUUUUCUGUUUAUACGGGCCGGGCCGGGCCGGGCCGGGCUUGGGCAGACGCCCCAUUUUGGGGCUCGGCCCGAGCCUAGGUUCGGUUGCUCCGAGCCACAAGUCGCUGCGGGCCGCCCGAGCCACCGAGCCUUUUUGACAUCCCUAGCCUUCCCCCAUUUUGGAUCACAAUAAUUACCUUAUGCUACAUUGCUAAAUUGGACAUACCAACACCCUAUAGUUUCUAAUUCAGGUCUUCAUUAUGGGCUUUGCAUUAUUAUUGCAUCGUUGGGCCCGGAUGAAGCAUUACAGCUCCCUGCAUGCUUCUUUUUCUCCUUGAUCCGUUUUCUACUCCAUUGGCUGCUACAAUUACUUGACUUAGGCCAAUUGAUAAAAUAAAAUAAAAAAUGCUUGCUGAAGCUGGAUUCCCUACCCCUCACAAUUACUUAACCGUGGCUAUUCUUUGAGAUAAUGACAUAAAUUUAGUGGCUCCAAGAAGUUGUUUGCUAUGGCCUAAUGUGAAAGAUGUUUGAAAUGUGUUGCUAUAACUUUUGAUGGUACCGUGGAUGGGAUACAAAUCUCAGUCAUCUCAAAGGAAUUAUUUUUUUGCAAGUGCACACAAACUGGAAAUAAUGCGAAUAAGUCAAGGUUUUACCAUGAAAAUACGUAGCACUCAGCUCUAAACCCGGGUAUGUUUUCACCUAACAGUGGUAUUCACUUUUUUAUUCUGUUGCAAAUUUAUAUUCUUCAAGCAAUUCAACUAUGGAUAUGUGACCAUGCUAGACUUUUCAUUUUCUUAACACAUUCACAUUUUGAUAGCAAGCCAUUUAUGCAUUGAUAUGGAGAGGAAAAUAUAAUGUAGUUUCACCUAGUCUAGGGGAAUAUGCAUACACUUAAUUAUAAAAGUAUAAAAAUGGAGCUUACCUUCAAGUAAAAUUCUUUGCAUUCAUCCCUUGCCUGUUGACAAUAGUUAACAAAAUGAAAAAUAUCAAUAAUUCAUGUGAAAAGUUUUACUUGGACACCAAUUCAGGACAUUUAAAUAAUUUCACUGAGUUUUACAUCACUCGAAGGCCAUAGCUUGAAGAAUUAAUCACCAUUAUGAAAAAUGGAAACUUUGCAAUUCUAAAUUAAUGAAUGCACUUAAGCAAUUGAUUUGUUACGUUAAAUAAGUGUUGGAACUUUUAAUGAUUUUAUUGAUUUACAUUUUAAUAAACAAAGGCUAUGCAUUGAAAAUAUUAUAGAACCACUACUUGCCUAUAUCUUUUACAUUGUUACUAAUGUGGAGCAAACCAUCAUAAUUAGUUGAGAUUAGAAUAGUAGCUCAUGCGUACAUCCCAAAAUAAAUAUUAUGGAUAUUUAAAAGACAUUAAUCACACAACAUACAUGAUUUGUGUUUUAAUCCUCGAAAAACAUAUAUUUUGGUGUAAUCAAUGCUCAUGCUUAUGGUAUGAUUAUUUGGUUAUGAAUUACAAUAACAUUUGGUUCACUCACACUAAAUGCUCCAUCAAAGCCCUGCUCCGCGCAGGCACCUAAAGCCCUACUUCGCGCAGGCACCUCAAAGCCCUAUCCUGUGCAAGCACCACAAAGCCAUGCUCCGCGCAGGCACACAAAGCCCUGCAUCGUGCAGGCACCUCAAAGCCCUGUCCUGUGUAGACACUACAAAGCCCUGCUCCGCGCAGGCACACAAAGCCCUGUCCCGGGCAGGCACACCAAAGCCUCUUCAAGAGUAGGCACCUCAAAGCCCUGUCCCGCGUAGGCACCAAAACCCCUGUCACAAGCAGGCACAUUAAAGUCCUGCCUCGAGUAGGCACAUCAAAGCCCUGCCCCAAGCAGGCACCUCAAAGCCCUAUCCCGCGCAGGCACCAAAAGCCCUGUCACAAGCAGGUACAUUAAAGCCCUGACUCGAGCAAGCACAUCAAAGCCCUACCCCAAGCAGGCACCAAAACCCUGUCAUGAGCAGGCACAUCAAAAGCCUUGCCCCGCGUGAGUACAAAAGUCCUGUCCUGCGUAGGCAUCUAAGCCUUGUCACGCGCAGGCACAAAAGCCCUGUCCAUCGUCGGCAUCAAAGCCUUACCCCACGCAAGCAUCUCUAAGUCUCGCAAUGCAUCAAGUAAAAAACCCGACUAUGGUCUAUCCUGAGCUUGCCAGGCUCGACCUAUUCUCAAAUUCAUCAGAGCAAAGAUCGGAAUAUUAUUUCACGUUCGACUCAGGGGCCUAUCCUCGAACUCAACGCAUUGUCGAAAACCCAGCGACAAGAGCUCGGGAUAUUAUUUCACAUUGGACUCGGGCUAUGUUCUGGAGCUCAAAUUAUUGUCAAACCCCAGCCAACAAGCUUGAGAUAAAUAUGUUCAGAAUAGGAUUGAGCUUCCACUUAGCCUCCUAUAUGAAACUUUGUCUAUUCGUCAAACUCAUUACUUCCAAAACUUUUAACAAAGCUCGAGGUCGAGCUCGUUCUUUUCAACUUCUGAACAAGGUAGAGGUCAAGCUCUUUCACUUCAAGUACUGAUAAAGUUUGAGGUUGAGCUCAUUCAUGCCAAAUUCUUUUACAAGGUCGAAGUCGAGCUCAAUUCUCUCAAAAAUUUCAACAAGGGCAGGAUCGAGUCCUUUCUUUCAAAAUUUCUAAUAAGCCUUAAGAUCGAGCUCAUUCCUUUCAAAUUUUAAAUAGUCAAUACUUGCUAUCCUAGACCUAUGUGCUCGGGGGCCAAUCGACUCGACAUGAACAUGUCUAUUCUAGAACUUAAUAUACUUAUGCAUCUCACGCCAGAAACUCCCACAUUGCGCAUGAGCUCCUGACAUGGAUGCACGGGGGCCUAUGAUGUGUACAAAAAUUAUAGCCCGACCCCGAACUUUCAAGCAUGGCCCGAGGUCAAUACCUCGACCACUCUCGUCUUCAAAUAUCCUCUAAAAAGUGCUCGAGCCUCUUAGAAGUCGGGCCUCAUAAUCUGGCCCUGCUAAGGUCAGGCCCACAUGCCAAAAUAUUGUCCUCAUCUCGAGCUUUUUAUGUGUUUUAGUCAUCUUAUAACUCAAUUACUUUAUCUGAUGAGGAUAAGGUCUCUAAAUGGUUGAAUCCUUCUAGAACUCAACCACCAAUGUCUUCUAGCCUCAUUAUUUAGGUAUGUUUUUACAAUACAUACUUUUAUAUAUUUUUCUCGUCUGAUUUAAGUAUCGGAGGGGCGACGAGGACACACUUUGUUGCCUUUAUUUCAGGUACUGGAAGGCUCCGUUCGUGCUCGAUCUCAGUCCUCAAUCUCGUGAAAUCAACAGGUACACUUUUUUACAUCAUUAGGUGCCAUUUGAAAUAUUUUUUUCCUCGAG